AACGAACGCUGGCGGCAUGCCUAACACAUGCAAGUCGAACGAGACCUUCGGGUCUAGUGGCGCACGGGUGCGUAACGCGUGGGAACCUGCCCUUAGGUUCGGAAUAACUCCCCGAAAGGGGUGCUAAUACCGGAUAAUGUCUUCGGACCAAAGAUUUAUCGCCUUUGGAUGGGCCCGCGUUGGAUUAGCUAGUUGGUAGGGUAAAAGCCUACCAAGGCGACGAUGCAUAGCUGGUCUGCGAGGAUGAUCAGCCACACUGGGACUGAGACACGGCCCAGACUCCUACGGGAGGCAGCAGUGGGGAAUAUUGGACAAUGGGCGAAAGCCUGAUCCAGCAAUGCCGCGUGAGUGAUGAAGGCCUUAGGGUUGUAAAGCUCUUUUACCCGGGAUGAUAAUGACAGUACCGGGAGAAUAAGCUCCGGCUAACUCCGUG
rnacentral:rRNA from 1 species